UACGGAGGGGGCUAGCGUUGUUCGGAAUUACUGGGCGUAAAGCGCACGUAGGCGGAUUUGUAAGUCAGGGGUGAAAUCCCGGGGCUCAACCCCGGAACUGCCUUUGAUACUGCGAAUCUCGAGUCCGGAAGAGGUGAGUGGAAUUCCUAGUGUAGAGGUGAAAUUCGUAGAUAUUAGGAAGAACACCAGUGGCGAAGGCGGCUCACUGGUCCGGUACUGACGCUGAGGUGCGAAAGCGUGGGGAGCAACAGG
rnacentral:rRNA from 1 species